CCCCUUAUCACAAUAGCAAGUUUCUGAUUAAAGAGUGAGUCCAGCCAGCCCCUCUGUCUCAGUGCUCACCUACACUCUGUCUUCCACCACGGGAUGAAGAUAAAUGGUAACAUCCUGCCUUAGGUUUGCCAACCUCAAGAAUUAUUAACCAGGACAAAUCUCUAUCAUGUAUCAUCUACCUGAAUGUUUAGAAUUCUGCUGUGCAACAGAAAGUGGACUGAGAUAGUCUGUAAGUUAUAAAGGGAGGACAGCGCCUUGGAGCCAAUGGUUAAUAGGUUCAAUGCAUUUCCAACGGUAAAUGGCACAGAUACGCUUUUCGCUAAAUGAUAUAUGUACUUCCAAGACACUUCAGGUGAAUGGCCUGCAGAUAAAAUUCGUAGUUCUUGCUACAGAAUCUCAGAGUGAUUUAUUCUUAGAACUCAUAAAAAUGUUUUAAAUAACUUAAGGACUCAGAUAAUUGUUCUUUUGGUGACAAAAAUAAAUACUCUUUUUUUAAUUUAAAAAAAAGGCUUAUUGUUAUUCUUGGUAGUCAAUGGCACAAGAGUCAUUAUUAGGAGGGAAAAAAAUCUUGACAGCUUUGAGUUAACUCCUACACACAGCGGAUGUCAUUUAAUUUAAAAGUACAAACACACACAAAGGCAGAAGAUAUGUCUUUUUAAAACCAUCCCCUCUUCAGAAAUUGCAGAUGUCUUUCAAAACCCUGCACAAUAUUUUUUUAGUUUAUUUAUAGAACUUAAGUAGUUUAGACACAUUUUAUGUAAAACUUACUGCCUUGAACUAAAAACUUUUUCCCCACAUAUUCUAGAAAAGUAAAAGAUUCCAUUGCCUCUCUUAGUAAUCAGACAUGUUUCCUCUGAGGAAUUGUCUGUGAAUGUCAGAACCCAAAACCACACAAACAGGAAGAUCUAGCAGGGGCUUCCAGCUACAGAGGACACCAAGUGGCCUGGAAGUCACAAUGCUAUGGCGUCCUACAACUGCCAAGAGUAUGUAGCCAAACCUGUGAUGUGGCCUUCAGAUUCAAUCCCUGAAUCCGAGGGCAGGGAAACACGGCAUCGAGCUUCCUAGGAUGGCACAGGAAGUCCUUGCCCCAGAAAUUCUAGAAUUGUUUGAAUGACCUACUCUUGAUAGAAAGCCCUUCUGCUACAGUGAGGACCAGAGUAAGGCUGAGAGCCAGUGUGUGAUGGGCAGAACCCUGGAGUGAGCUGACCCUGCCCACAGAGAAGCAGCUCUCUGGCACCCACUCUGAGUGGCACCCACUCUGGAAAACAGUCAGGUGCAUGGAGCAUUCACACCAGGUGGGGUUGGCAGGCUCCAUGCCCAAGUGCAUAGCCACCCAGGGCUAACAUCAGCAGGCCAUGGCCCAGGCCAGACCAGUGACUACCCGUAGGCGAGGCACUGGACACCACUUAGUGAGUUUUCUGACGGCUGGUCUUCAUGACUGGGAGCACCGGGCGGCUCCCACACCAAGUGAGCUGGGCCUACGUAUUCCCAGAUAGUGUUCCGCUGGUGCUAAAAGAUUGCAGGGUCACACAUAAAAUCAAAAGUCUCACCAUGGGCUACAGGACCCAGACCCCACUGUGUCAGACUUGUGGAUGUCAGAUCACUAUCUAACAAUAACCUUGGAAGCCCCAAAUGGCCAGGACUUGACAAGGAGCAAGAUGGCCGAUGAGUCGGUUUGUGUUCCUGUUUCCAAUUUGGAAAAAAGAAAACCAAGCGUGUACGCCCAACUCACCGCACAGCUGGCUCCUUUUAGCCCCAUUCCAGCUCUAAUGGGCUCUUCCGUGCCAGUCAUUUCCACUCAGGGAGCACACUGAAACCUUUCCUUUCUUUCACUAUAAACUUUCCUCCUAUCUCUCUCUGGUACUGAGCCAGCCAGCGUGUGGGUGCACAUGGUGGCCAGCUCCCUUCCGGAAGUGAGGGGUAAUAAGUCUCCCGCCCUUCUCACUUGGGAGUCUUCCUCUAUUCCAACAGGAAAAGGUCUCUCGUGUUUUCUUCUCACCUCUUUAUCUGCUUUUCUAUCCAAAGCACUGAGAGCAAUUCAACAAAUUCCAAAAGCUCCUUUUCUCUGUGAGGUGGAGUGAGCGACCCACUUGGAAAUUGUUAGGAGUGAACAGGCCCUGAGGUAGAAUCAGAACAACUGGAAGUGCUCCAUGGGUGCCGGAGGGCAGGCUAUCAACUGGCAAGGUUCUAGCUGAGCCAAAUUGCCACCAUCUUCAUGAGGUCAGUGGUGCCUCUUUGUGAGAACCCAUCUCUUUUGUUCCAGUUCUGGGGACUGUCCACAUCCCCUCCUAGAAGGAGGUGUAGACAGGGUGCUGAACCCACAUCUAAGCAUCCAGCUGCCUCCCUCAGACAUGUGUUUGCAAUUCUGCCCUAAUUGCAUGCAGCCUCAGGGUCUCUGGGAAGGGCUAGUGGAUACAGGGUAGGGAAGACUAGGGAAAGGGGGUGUCACCUAUGCAGCUAUUGGGAAGCCAUCAUUUAUGUUGGGUGAAAACUUGCCAGU
rnacentral:sRNA from 1 species